GAGACUAACGUCAACAGAAGCGAAAGCCCCCGCCAUUUUCAUGUCAACGAAGCAUACCGAAAGGAGGCUGUUUCAAUAAGUACUGUUUACGUUUGCGGUUUUGGAGAGGUCGAAUAAUAACGGAUACAUACGUUUUAAGGAAUUGUAACCUCGAAAUUGGUUUCAAUCUGCGCAGAAAAAUGUUAACAUUGGUUCUUACGGAGCUUUCGCUUCUGUUGACGUAGUCUAUUUAUUCUAUGACAAGGUUGUUAAUAUGUUGUAGUUUGCUGGAAAGACGAAGAUUUUAAAGUUUUGUGCCCUUAAAGAGGAGAAAAGGUGCUAAAGCUAAUGUGAAACACGGUCCUAAGAUAUCUUGGUUGCCUGAAAUAGCAGAAAAGUCUACAGCUAGCAUGAUUUGCAGAAGCCAAGGACGUGAUUUACCUAUUUGAAAUUCUGGAGAUUCAACCUACAUUUUCAAGAAGUAAGGAAAGCUGCCAUAUCUGCAGCUAAGCAUCUCUGACACCUUUUCUAAUAGAAGAAUCGUGGUGGGCUACUCAAAUUUUUAACAAAAGAUUUGGAGUGCAGAUUCCUUCCAGUUAAAGGCGCUUCGUCGAAAGUGUUAACAUCUCAUGCUUAUGUUGAAAUUAUCAUGAAGUCCGGAUGCCUUUUUUAUUUUAGUUUGUAAUAUUUUAUAUACUGUCAUAAACCAUGUAAAAAUCAAAUGAAAAUUAAAUAAUUUCAAAGUUUCAUGUUCCAAAA